rnacentral:rRNA from 1 species
GAUGAACGCUGGCGGCGUGCCUAAUACAUGCAAGUCGAGCGAACAGAUGAGGAGCUUGCUCCUCUGACGUUAGCGGCUGACGGGUGAGUAACACGUGGAUAACCUACCUAUAAGACUGGGAUAACUUCGGGAAACCGGAGCUAAUACCGGAUAAUAUAUUGAACCGCAUGGUUCAAUAGUGAAAGACGGUUUUGCUGUCACUUAUAGAUGGAUCCGCGCCGCAUUAGCUAGUUGGUAAGGUAACGGCUUACCAAGGCGACGAUGCGUAGCCGACCUGAGAGGGUGAUCGGCCACACUGGAACUGAGACACGGUCCAGACUCCUACGGGAGGCAGCAGUAGGGAAUCUUCCGCAAUGGGCGAAAGCCUGACGGAGCAACGCCGCGUGAGUGAUGAAGGUCUUCGGAUCGUAAAACUCUGUUAUUAGGGAAGAACAAAUGUGUAAGUAACUAUGCACGUCUUGACGGUACCUAAUCAGAAAACCACGGCUAACUACGU